UACGGAGGAUCCGAGCGUUAUCCGGAUUUAUUGGGUUUAAAGGGUGCGCAGGCGGGAGAUUAAGUCGGCGGUGAAAUUUUGCAGCUCAACUGUAAAAGUGCCUUCGAAACUGGUUUCCUUGAGUGUGGAUGAAGUAGGCGGAAUUUGUGGUGUAGCGGUGAAAUGCUUAGAUAUCACGAGGAACUCCGAUUGCGCAGGCAGCUUACUAAACCACUACUGACGCUCAGGCACGAAAGCGUGGGGAUCAAACAGGAUUAGAUACCCCGGUAGUCCCUGA
rnacentral:rRNA from 1 species